rnacentral:rRNA from 1 species
GGCAGACGGGUGAGUAAUGUAUAGGAAUCUACCUAGUAGUACGGAAUAAUUGUUGGAAACGGCAACUAAUACCGUAUACGCCCUACGGGGGAAAAAUUUAUUGCUAUUAGAUGAGCCUAUAUUAGAUUAGUUAGUUGGUGAGGUAAAGGCUUACCAAGACAAUGAUCUAUAGCUGAUCUGAGAGGAUGAUCAGCCACACUGGAACUGAGAUACGGUCCAGACUCCUACGGGAGGCAGCAGUGGGGAAUAUUGGACAAUGGGCGAAAGCCUGAUCCAGCCAUGCCGCAUGAGUGAAGAAGGCCUUCGGGUUGUAAAGCUCUUUUAGUGAGGAAGAUAAUGACGGUACUCACAGAAGAAGUCCUGGCUAACUCCGUGCCAGCAGCCGCGGUAAUACGGAGAGGGCUAGCGUUAUUCGGAAUCAUUGGGCGUAAAGGGCGCGUAGGCGGGUUAGUAAGUUAAAAGUGAAAUCCCAAGGCUCAACCUUGGAACUGCUUUUAAAACUGCUAGUCUAGAGAUUGAAAGAGGAUAGAGGAAUUCCUAGUGUAGAGAUGAAAUUCGUAAAUAUUAGGAGGAACACCAGUGGCGAAGGCGUCUAUCUGGUUCAAAUCUGACGCUGAGGCGCGAAGGCGUGGGGAGCAAACAGGAUUAGAUACCCUGGUAGUCCACGCUGUAAACGAUGAAUGUUAAAUAUGGGAAGUUUACUUUCUGUAUUAUAGCUAACGCGUUAAACAUUCCGCCUGGGGACUACGGUCGCAAGAUUAAAACUCAAAGGAAUUGACGGGGNCCCGCACAAGCGGUGGANCAUGUGGUUUAAUUCGAUGC